rnacentral:rRNA from 1 species
UACAGAGACUGCAAGCGUUAUUCGGAUUCACUGGGCGUAAAGGGUGCGCAGGCGGGUGUGUGUGUCAGGUGUGAAAGCCCGGGGCUUAACCCCGGAAUUGCGCCUGAAACUACAUGACUAGAGCAUUGGAGAGGGUAGCGGAAUUCACGGUGUAGCAGUGAAAUGCGUAGAUAUCGUGAGGAACACCAGAGGCGAAGGCGGCUACCUGGACAAUUGCUGACGCUCAGGCACGAAAGCGUGGGGAGCAAAAGGG